rnacentral:lncRNA from 1 species
AAGUAGGGCACACAAAAAAAGACAACCUGGUCUGUCAAGUGGCUGAAAGACAUCUACUAAGCCUUAUCUGAAUGUUCCUACCUAAUGAAACCUCUCCUGUCAGUCCAUGAGACUGAAGUUUAAGUCUUAAAGGCUCAUUUUCAAUAUCUCCUCAUGUAGUAGAAAUCCAGGAAGAGAUUUCUUUUGAGAACAAGCACAGCCUAUGUCCAUGUUGCUGAUGAAUUCACCUCUACGAGAAAUAACUGUCUUCCUUUCUGGGAACUGCAAAUAGUAGAAUAUAUUAAUUUUAUAUUUUUUUAUUCCUCUUUUAAAUGAAGGUAGUAAGACUCAAAACAUGAAGCUUGGACACAGAUGGAAAGGGACAUAAACUGACAAGAGUAAGCAAAGUCCAGAAUAGCAGGGAUCCAGUGACACCGGAUCUGUUCUGUGAAACUGGGUGGUACUGCUGGGACAGGCUGGGUAAAGGGAUUGAAGUGGAUAAACUUAAACUGGGGGAAUCCAUAAUGAGCCUUGUGAGCUGUAAGGAGAUUGAUAAAAAACACGCUGGAUGGAAAUUGUUGCUAUGGGUCUCAUCACACCAGCUGGGCACAUGAAUCUUUGCUGCCUCCUCCAGUUCUCUGACACACAAAUGACCUCAUCUGAGACACCCCUCUCCAUAAGCAGAGUCCAAGGGAGCAGAGGCAAUGGGCACACACUGAAAGGCAGGAGCUUCCCCCAUUUUCACUGUGGGGAUGACCGAGCACUGGCACAGGUAAGGCUGUGGAGUCUCCAUCCCUGGAGCUGUUGCUGGGCAGCUGCUGUGGGUGACACAGCUGGAGCAGGGGGGCUGGAUGAGGUGACCCCAGGGGCCCUUCCAGCCUCAGCCAUUCAGCGAUUCCGUGACACCAGAGGGUUUCACUCUACGCUUGCUGCUGCUGAGUGGGUGCUGUGUCACAAAUGCCUUAAACACAACUUCUGUACAUUCUCAAGAGUCACCGGUGAGAUAAUUGUUUGACUUGCUUGACUUCCUUGAGGACAAAUUAGAUUCUCCUCAUAUAUGCUUUACCUUUCCUUACAUUAUUAUCUUGCUCCUGUAGACCUUGUUCAAUGAGGCAAAAGCCCUGUGAUUUUAAUGACAAUAUUGCCAUAGUUACUGUAGGACUGUGCCCUAGAAAACCAUCAAACUUUUAUCUUCUUUUUUUUGUAAUUUCCAUUUUUGAGGCAAAUUACCUGUGGCGCUUCUCGCAGUUUAUUUAUGCUUCAGAGUGCAGGAAUACACAGCUUGCAGCUCUUUGGCUGCAAAACCCUUCACCCUGCUGAUAGCUGAUAUGAUUGAAACCCAAACACUGAUAUUCCUAACUCAUUGUUGAAUUUAGCCUGGUGCCUUGUGAGCAGCCAUCCAGCCUCUGCUCUCAGGUAUGACUGGAGUGGCCUCUGCUGUGCCAGCUUGACAGCUCUAGCCAACCUUGGCAGCCUCUGAGUUUUACAGCUGCUUUGCUUUAAAAGAGGGCUGUGAUGCUGGGACCAGAAUAAGUACAAAAUGUGUUACCAUCAGAUACACAAACAAAUCUCUGAGGCACAGGAGAUGUUCUUACAAUAAUGUUCUGCUCUGCUUGGUUCAGUCUUCUUGGUCUGAAACUUUUGGACUAUAACAGAAUUGGAGAUAAUUCAAAAGCUGGAAAAAUAAAUCUCUUCUCAGAGAUACUUGAUGUCAUUUUCAAUGAAAACUUAAUUAGUUUUCUCUCCCUGUGACCAAAAAGCAUGUCUUUUCUAUUGUCAGACCUGGAAAAAUUAUGAAACUUAAGCACAUGUUGUGAUGCUAAUGAAGCUUUGCCUUAGUUUCAAUCCACUCUAUGCAGAAGCAAUCAGACUAAAUCACACUCAGUAAAAAUAACCCACACCCAAAAAACCGAAACCAGCCCAAAAUCCUAUAUUCUCCUAUCUUUGAGGAAAGUAAGGAAAGAGUAAAAAAUUAAGAGGAUUUUUACUGUCCUUUGACCUCUAAACCACAUAGAAAUAAAUAUGUAAAUAAUAUUUAACCUAAAGUUGAUCACUCUUUUCUUCUUGUUGAUAUUUGACUUGUGCUCAAAAAGAGCAGCCAGAAGAAAAGUCCACUAUAGAAAAAGAAAUUGUGGUUUUUUCCAUGAAUGCUUAAGAGAGUCUUUGUUCACGUUCAUGAACUAUGUAACUCCUUAAAAAUAAUUCAUUUCACAUCAUGGUUUUUGUGGAAUAUCUGUGGAAACACUACACAUGGGGAUGCAGCUGUGAAAUACCUCCUGCUUUUUCUAAGCCAGUUUGAGAUAAUUAGGUGGAGAAAUAGCUAUUUCUAUUGUUCUUCUUUUUAAUAUAGAAAGAUGGAUGUGCACUUGAUUAAGAUAUGAACCAGAGGACAGGUUUAACUCUGAGAUAGCUAACUCAGAGUUAAGGUCAGUAUGGAAAGCUUUAGGAAAUACCAUCUUUUUAUGUCCAUGUACUUUCAUGCCAUGUGUAGAAUCUAAAUAAUUUCUUAUAUUCAUAUGGUAAAUAUGUGCAUGGUGAUAUUUCCUUUAUUGUACAGAUUUUACCUUUCCAGCUUGACAGAAUGUUGGGAUGGCUUCCCUCUAAGAGCAAGUGGGGAUGGUGUCUAAAUUGCUCUGAAUGUGUGCAGAGGGAAAAGGAGAGAGGAAUAACAUCUCCAAACUUUAUUAUGAUGAUGGAUGUGGAAGGCUGGUGAAUUUAUGCAGAUAGUCAAGGUUGCCUCUAAAGUAGGAUGUACCUCCUGCAGGCUGCAAGAGCAAGGCACAGGCACUUAGCAGGAAACAGAACAGAACAGGUGACCACUGAAACGAAGUUGUGUGUGGAUGCCUUAAUUGUUUUGUCGCACCCCUACUGAAUUCAAGUAACAAGCUGAUGAAAUGUCCAUGUUUAAGCUCAAAACAAGAUUGGAGUUAAUAAAAUAUCUUGGUGCAGAAGUGUUUGAACAUUUUAUCCUAAUAUUUAUUGCCAAAAUUAUUGCCUGUAAGCCCUUGACAUUGAACCUCCUCACUUUGUUAACUGCUUGACAAACGGAGAACACAACCGACUGUGUCUGCUGAAGAAUGCAAAUAUCAGAGAAGACAUAAAUACAGACACACCAAGGGCAGGCAAAAAAACCUGUCUGAAGAGAUUCUAAUGUUCACAGCCAGUGCAGCCAAAAUUAAGAACGAAAUUACUGAAGGGGAUGAGGGAUGAAAUAGGAGGAUCAGAGAAGCUGGAGGACUCCGGGUUAAGGAAGUUAAGGUGAAGAUCAGGGGGCUUCUGAAGAGCAGUGAGAAGCUGGACAGAAUUUAUGAAUAUGGAAGGGAUCUCAGUAAUGCCCUCCUCACUCACUAAACCAGUCAGAAAUUAAGAUGCUCUGACUUACACUGACAUUUAUCUCCUUCCACUGUUCUGAUUAAAAUUGGUCUACAGUUACUUGUAGCUUUGCAAUGUGUUGAAAUGAAGCAGGAAAAAAGUACUUUUGAGA